rnacentral:rRNA from 1 species
UACCGAGGUCUCAAGCGUUGUUCGGAUUCAUUGGGCGUAAAGGGUGCGUAGGCGGCGCGUUAAGUCGGGUGUGAAAUCUUGGAGCUUAACUCCGAAACUGCAUUCGAUACUGCCGUGCUUGAGGACUGGAGAGGAGACUGGAAUUUACGGUGUAGCGGUGAAAUGCGUAGAUAUCGUAAGGAAGACCAGUGGCGAAGGCGGGUCUCUGGACAGUUCCUGACGCUGAAGCACGAAGGCCAGGGGAGCAAACGGG